rnacentral:rRNA from 1 species
GUUCGGAAUUACUGGGCGUAAAGGGCGCGUAGGCGGCCCGCUAAGUCGAACGGGAAAUCCCCAGGCUCAACCUGGGAACUGCGUCCGAUACUGGCAGGCUUGAAUCCGGGAGAGGGAUGUGGAAUUCCAGGUGUAGCGGUGAAAUGCGUAGAUAUCUGGAGGACCCCCGGUGGCGAAGGCGGCAUCCUGGACCGGCAUUGACGCUGAGGCGCGCAAUCUAGGGGAGCAAACGGG